AGAUGCCAAACCCAAACCCACAACUCCUGCUUUGAAGCCUAGUGGAGGAAUAGGAAAGGAAGGCACCUGCUUCCAUUGCGGUAAGAUCGGACACUGGAAGAGAAACUGCCCAAAGUACCUGGAAGAUAAGAAGAAUGGAGUAGAGACUUCAACUUCAGGUAUUUUUGUUAUUGAAAUUAAUUUAUCUACUUCUGCAUCAUGGGUAUUA
rnacentral:lncRNA from 1 species